rnacentral:rRNA from 1 species
GAUGAACGCUAGCGGCAGGCCUAAUACAUGCAAGUCGAGGGGCAGCAGGAAUAGCAAUAUUUGCUGGCGACCGGCGCACGGGUGCGUAACACGUAUACAAUCUGCCUUCUACAGGGGGAUAGCCUUUCGAAAGAGAGAUUAAUACCCCAUAACAUAAGAAAUAGCAUUAUUUUUUGUUGAAAGUUCCGACGGUAGAAGAUGAGUAUGCGGGUGAUUAGCUAGUUGGUGAGGUAACGGCUCACCAAGGCAACGAUCACUAGGGGAUCUGAGAGGACUACCCCCCACACUGGAACUGAGACACGGACCAGACUCCUACGGGAGGCAGCAGUAAGGAAUAUUGGACAAUGGAGGCAAGUCUGAUCCAGCCAUGCCGCGUGCAGGAUGAAGGCCCUAUGGGUCGUAAACUGCUUUUGUACGAGAGAAAACCUAUUUACGUGUAGAUAGUUGAUAGUAUCGUAAGAAUAAGGAUCGGCUAACUUCGUGCCAGCCGCCGCGGUAAUAC